GCAAACUUGGUCAUUUAGAGGAAGUAAAAGUCGUAACAAGGUUUCCGUAGGUGAACCUGCGGAAGGAUCAUUAUUGAAUUAAAUUUGGAUCGAGUUGUUGCUGGCUCCAUGGAGCAAUGUGCACACUUGGUUCAAUAUUUAAAAAUUCCAUGUGCAUCUUUGUAGAUCUGAAAAUGAUACAAAAUACUCUCUGAAUUUGUUUUUAAGGAUUGCCUUGUCUAUAUGUAAAAUAUAGCUCAGCUUUUCUUGCGCUUCAGAUCUAUGUAUUUCAUAUGCUCCCCAUCCUGUGAUUGAAUGAAUGAAAUGGAUUGUUAAUUCAAUCUAUAAAACAAGAUAAUACAACUUUCAACAAUGGAUCUCUUGGCUCUUGCAUCGAUGAAGAACGCAGC
rnacentral:misc_RNA from 1 species